UCACUCUCCUGCACUCUCUCUCUCUCUCUCUCAAAAUAAAUAAACUUUAAAAUAAAUAAAAUUGUGUCUGGGAACCAACCUAAGUGGAAAAGAGGCUUCGCUCGGGCUUUCCACAAAUAUUUAGCACCGAGAAUGUAGAGGGCACUUUGGAGAUAGGAAUUAAACGCAAACUAAAUAGCAUCUAUUCUCUAGGAGCUUACGUCCUAGUAGAACAAGCACAAGGCGCAGAGGACCUCAAGAGGCGAAGGAACUUCACCUUCCACGGGUUCACGGGUUCGGUUACCGCAGCCUACCUCGGCCCAGAAGCAGGUGGUCUCCCUCUGGCCCGUCCCCAGAAGGAAAACCAGACAAGGCAGAAGGAAAAUGAAUAAGCCGAACAGGUUAUUGCUGACAGCUUACGGGAACUCUUCUGUCUCCAAGUUUGAAAAAGGGAAGUUGUUCUUGUUCAUCCCCAGGAAGAUGGGCUGUCGGCUGGCUGGCAAAAAGAGCUGUGUGAUAUUUGCAAAUGAAAAGUACACCACUCAAGGAAAGAAAAGAACUGAGGUAAUCCAAAAGAAAGUAUUUGGGGACUUCCAGAAGAUUCUCGAGCCAACAAAAAUAUACCCCAAUGCCAAAGCACUCCCUCGCUAAAGUCAAUAUGUGAAAAUGUGAAUAUUAUUUUGGAUGCCGUUGUGCUAACCCAAGUGUGUUAAGGUAAGAGCUUAUAUUUGUCAAAGUGCAGAUUUGGUUCUUCUCAAGUCAUAAAACAUGGGAGCUAACAUCUUGAUGACUCACCUUAAAAUCCUUUUCUUCUCUUUGGAUAACGACAACGUAUUUUGCCAGACAGCCUGGCAAAAAGAAAAGCUGCUUUUUUACCUGCCAAACGACUGAGAUUAUGAUCGAGAUUGAAAACCAAGAUAUAGAAACGAUGGAAUACCUCACAGCUCUUCUCCCAAAACUUGAUUCCCCAGAUAAUAAUCCCCAUGUUAUUAUUCCCAGAAUAAUAAUCCAAUUAUUUUCUCAUUUAUUCCCAACUCCGUAAGAUUUGAGAAUUAGCCCAUACAUGGGGCCCCAAACUCAAGCACUUCCCGUAUUAACAAUCGGAAACCAUGCAAAAGAGAAAAACCAUUUCAAAUGCAGAUUAAAGCAGGUAUUUGGAAAUUUGGACAUCUGUUUUUAGGAACUCAUCAUGGAGGGAAGUCAAAGGGAAAUCGGAUCACAUUGGAAUACCAUUUCCCCCCCAUUCUUUGAAAUUUGCCUUUUAUGUAAAUAAAAAAAAUAAUAAAAGCCAAAAAAAAUAUAUAUAUAUAUAAACAUCACUCUCUGAAAUGGCUUCCUCACGUCACGCCUCAGGGAUGUGAAGUAAAAAGACAGCACAAUCAGUAUACCAAUCAGAAGGCUAGCAGAUCAUUGGCAACUCUGAGAUCUAUCAUUCUUCCAACUAGGAGCAAGAGUUCUGAUCGCAUGUGAGUUAAUA